rnacentral:rRNA from 1 species
GCUGUUAAGGGUUCGUAGUUGAACUGAGGGUGUUCAGGUAGACGAUCCAGUCCCGCUCCGUCUUGGGGUUGGCGACUCUCGCUCCUUGCACUCGUGAACGACAGAAACAAAUACCACGGAACGUUUUCUCUCCAACUUCACUCGCAUGCAAUGUAUGCAGUGUGGGGGGAUGUCCGUGUUUUUACUGUGACUAAAAAAGCGUGACCAAAGCAGUCAUUCGACAUGAAUUUCAAAGCUGGGAUAACAACGAAGCGACCUAUGGGUUUCCAUUUCGGCUUUUGUUGGUUUUAAAGAUCUGUGGGGAUUGUGGACGGGCAUGACAAGCGGUUCGGGAGCGUGCUUGCAUGUUUCCUACGCCUCCGGGUGGGCAGGGUCUAGCUGUCAAAAGCGCCUUCCCAUUCUGGCUUGCCCAGUCCGGAAUGAAGGAGGGUUGUUCGGGGGAGAACGUACUUGAGCGUGAGAGGUGAAAUUCUUGACCGCUCAAAGACGAACUACAGCGAAGGCAUUCUCCAAGGAUACCUUCCUCAAUCAGAACCAAAGUACGGAGAUCGAAGAUGAUUAGAUACCAUUGUAGUCC